rnacentral:rRNA from 1 species
AUGGGCGAAAGCCUGAUGGAGCAACGCCGCGUGGGUGAAGAAGGUCUUCGGAUCGUAAAACCCUGUUGUUAGAGAAGAAAGUGCGUGAGAGUAACUGUUCACGUUUCGACGGUAUCUAACCAGAAAGCCACGGCUAACUACGUGCCAGCAGCCGCGGUAAUACGUAGGUGGCAAGCGUUAUCCGGAUUUAUUGGGCGUAAAGGGAACGCAGGCGGUCUUUUAAGUCUGAUGUGAAAGCCUUCGGCUUAACCGGAGUAGUGCAUUGGAAACUGGGAGACUUGAGUGCAGAAGAGGAGAGUGGAACUCCAUGUGUAGCGGCGAAAUGCGUAGAUAUAUGGAAGAACACCAGUGGCGAAAGCGGCUCUCUGGUCUGUAACUGACGCUGAGGUUCGAAAGCGUGGGUAGCAAACAGGAUUAGAUACCCUGGUAGUCCACGCCGUAAACGAUGAAUGGUAAGUGUUGGAGGGUUUCCGCCCUUCA